ACGCUCGACACCUACGGGUGGCAGCAGUUGGGAAUAUUGGACAAUGGAGGAAACUCUGAUCCAGUGACGCCGCGUGAAGGAAGAAGGUCUUCGGAUUGUAAACUUAUUUUGUCAGGGAAGAAAAAAUGACUGUACCUGAAGAAAAAGCACCGGCUAACUACGUGCCAGCAGCCGCGGUAAUCUGAGCGGGCUGGCAAGGC
rnacentral:rRNA from 1 species